UACAGAGGUGGCUAACGUUGUCCGGAAUUACUGGGUGUAAAGGGUCCGCAGGCUGUCUUGUAAGUCAAAGGUGAAAUAAUACGGCUUAACCGUGUUUCUGCCUUUGAUACUGCAGGACUUGAGUUCGGAAGAGGAGAGUGGAAUUCCCAGUGUAGCGGUGAAAUGCGUAGAUAUUGGGAAGAACACCGGUGGCGAAGGCGGCUCUCUGGUCCGAUACUGACGCUCAGGGACGAAAGCCAGGGGAGCAAACGGG
rnacentral:rRNA from 1 species